rnacentral:lncRNA from 15 species
CCCCCAUAUGCAGUAGUACUCCCCAAGACCUGUAAACAGACUUUGGUGUGUAGAAUCGGCACAUUUCCCCUUUAAAACUGAAAUCUGUUGUUCCCCUCCUCAAUGACUAUAUAAAAACAAUUCACUAAAUUAAUUAAUAUACUGUUAUACUGGGGACUAAGAAAAAGCCACAAGCUAUAAUUUAAUAUUUAUGUUUUAUUAUUUAAAGGAAACAGAAAUUACAGAUAUUUCUGAUGGAAUCAAUUUCUUAAACAUACUUCUGAAAAAGAAGGAACUUCAUUCAUCAUGGAAAGCUUCUGUCUUUUUUUUUUAACUCACAUAGCUGUAAAUCUAUUUGUAUACCAGCAUAAUAGUCUUGGUCUUUUACAAUUAUGCCACUCCAGGUGUUACAUUACAUAGAUUAUGCAAAAUGUGUCUGAGUUCAUUCACAGAGGUUGUUUCAGCGACAGUGGCAUUGUGUUUAGACUGUAAAGAGACACGGGCAUGACUGUGUGAGUCACUACUCUGAAGGCUACUGUGACUUUGAAUAGUAAAUAAAAUGUACAAAGCAACAAACUGUACAAGCAUGCAAAUGUAUACAGAAAGUGUAGAUAGUGGAGUUAAUUAUACACAAUGGUAAGGGAUAUAUGGACAUAUGUAAAAUAUGGCAGGGUUUGUUUUGGGAAUUUAGCAUUUAAAUAUCACAAGACAGCCAGACUAACACCAUGUAAAUAUUACAAGACAGGCUGAGUAAUACCAUGCAAAAGUACAGAAAAACAUAUUUAAAGGGAUACACACAGACAGGCAUGGAACACCAUUAAAAUGUCAUAUUAAGAGGAUAAACCCUUGCAGUAUCAGACAGAGACAGUUUCCAUCUCUUGUGUACAUUACUUCCAUUAUCUGCCCAUUACUUCUGUAAUAUAUAACACAGUAUGGUAGUUCUGUUAAAUUAUGGAGCAGUGUUGUUAUUGUGUUAAGUCUGAAAGCAUUUCUGAUCACACAGCAGUUAGGUCAUUUGUUCUCGUUCUUUGUUCUAGAGGCUUUUUGGAAAUUUUGUCACAACAGUUUCUGAAAUCUCAAAAUCUUGCAUUUACAUAUUUUAUACUUUGUAUAUUUCCCCAAAAAUAUACCCACACAAAAAAAGACCACAUCCAUGAUUUCUUCUGUUGAUGUUAAUAAACGCAACAGAGCAUUUAUAUAUGGUCGUAUGAUUACCUGUGAUCAUGUCUUGUCUUCCUUCCUGACUUCUAGCCUUCCUCCUGAAGUGUUGCCCAGAAAUUAAAUGGGCUCAGGAGAAUGUUAAGAAAGGCCAGAUGCACUAAAACCGGAUUUUUCAUAUGGAAGUGUGAGACUAUCUCUACAUCACAGAAUGUGUUGAGAAAGGUUUAAGACUGGUAGUCAGAGCUAACUCAAAGUGGAGGCUGGUGUUAAUGCCCUCCAAUCCUCUGAUUAGUGUGCAUUAACACUUCUUUUUCAUAUAAAUGUCUUGAUGUCAAUUAGUCCUAAACGGUCGACUCUAUGUCAGCAUUGGGUAUAUGGGGUUGAGGGUGAUUUAAAACAGUAGAGGGCGUGUUGAGCCUUUUUCAACCUUUUUCAACCUAACACCAGCAUCAUCACAGUACAGUCAUAUAAUUAGGUAAAAAAAAAAUGUUUUAUGGUGGUGUACUUCUUUAAGGAAAACCCUGAGUUAUGUUCCACCCACAGCAAACAAUCAUAUUAAGCAGAAUCUGAUGGGUAAUCGUAAAAAGGGUAUAUCAUGCUCCUAAUCAAGUAAGUCUCAAAUUCACCUUUUUGCAAACUGUGGGUGAAACAGAAAAUAAAACCUGUGUAUUCAGACUACACAAACAUAUUGUGGGUAUAACUUCAACUAUUUUUCCUGUAGUACAUCUGUGCAAAUAACAGCCCAUUUUAUUAUGUGAAAGUGUAAAAAAAUAAAACAAAUAUGCCCUUGGUCCUCAAAAACAAAUCCCAGUCCUGCAGAUCACCUUAUUCUCUGACGCUUUUCAUGAGGUUUGAGGUGUGUGUGGAGGACGUACUGAAAGACACUUUCCUGUCUUCCUGCUUAAAGAGUUCCGUAACUUUUUUACGGAAGUUCUUUCCUACAACAACGUAGAGGAUGGGGUUGAGAACACUGUUGAAGAAGGCUAAACAGGUGAAGAUGUAGCGGCAGUUGUCUAGGUGGUUUCCCUUCAGGACAUCAGGACUUGGGAACAAAGUUACCAACUUAACCAGGUGGAAUGGCA